rnacentral:miRNA from 1 species
CCUCUAAAGGGAAGCGCUUUCU